rnacentral:rRNA from 1 species
UACGUAGGGUGCGAGCGUUGCCCGGAUUUAUUGGGCGUAAAGAGCGUGUAGGCGGUUUGGUAGGUCCGCUGUGAAAACUCGAGGCUCAACCUCGAGACGCCGGUGGAAACCAUCAGACUAGAGUCCGGAAGAGGAGAGUGGAAUUCCUGGUGUAGCGGUGAAAUGCGCAGAUAUCAGGAAGAACACCCGUGGCUAAGGCGGCUCUCUAGUACGGUACUGACGCUGAGACGCGAAAGCGUGGGGAGCGAACAGG